UUUAAUUUCAAAAUAAUUUACCUUUAAUUAAUAUUUAGUGUAAUUUAAAUUUAAAUGUUGUGCAAAAUAAAUUUAUUAGGUGUACUAAUUUAACACUAUAAAAUAUUUACCAAAACUAGGGUUAGUUGCCUAUUAUUAAUAAUUUAAAAUUAUUAGAGUACUAAAAGAUUUCCCUUUAAACUUAAAUAUCGUGGCAGUAUUUUACCCCCUGCAGAGGAACUUGAACCAUAAUCUGAUAUUCCCCAAUAUAUUUAACUUAAAUCUUUUUUAUGUGUGGUUGUUUAAAUAAGUAGGAAACUAUACGUUUUAAAUCAGAUUUUAUGUAAAAGUAAUUAAGUCAGUUUUAGUUACAAUUAAAAUAUUUUUAAGGAUUUGCAUGUAAUUUAUCUUAAUACUCCAUAUAUAAAUGACGAGGUUAUAAAAUGUGUACAUAUUGUCCGUCACUCUCAAAAAC
rnacentral:rRNA from 1 species